UAGUACUCCUCCUGUCCAUAAAUAACUGUUUUUAGUUAGUAUCUUUCUUGCCCUGUGUAUACAUUCAUGGAUUCCUUUCUAUCUCUUUUGCAGGUGCAAAAUCUAUAAUAAAUAGAAGUUGAAACCGCUUAUGGUAUUGGAAUUUUUGAAAACAUUGUCUCAUUUCGUCUCAUUCAUCUCCAUUUUUUUUAAUUUAACAGAUAUUUUCUUUCGGUAUCUGUUCUCCUGUCUUUCCAUCCGUCCAUGGCUCUUUUAUUGUUAAUCCUGCCGUCGCCCUUUUGAUUCUUGUUUUAGUUUCAGAUAUAUGCUUCUUUUUACUUCUAUUUUCAGUGUGUUUUUGUCAUGGUUUUUUGUUUUCACCUUUAGAGGAUAAAGUCAUUAAGAAAAAAAACCUAAGGUUUUAAGUUUUUCUCAAACCCUACCACAGUAUUGUGUCCAAUUCGAAACGAUGAAGAUAGCGGUGGAAGGGUGCAUGCAUGGAGAUCUCGACAAGGUCUACGACACCAUUAAAUACAUCGAAAACACUCGCAACAUCAAAAUUGACCUCCUCCUUUGUUAUGGUGAUUUCCAGGUUCUUUCUCUCACACACUCACUUUCUCCAAUUUGUUGUUUUUAUACGAAAUUUUGUCACUUUCCAAAUACCCAUUUUUUUAUAUUAACUUAAUUAACUUAAUGUGGCCCCAAAAUAUAGGGAGAUGAAGUCAUUCUGGAAAUACUAUUCGGGUCAGGAGGUUGCCCCAGUUCCCACGAUUUUUAUCGGUGGAAAUAAUGAAGCUUCCAAUUAUUUAUGGGAAUUGUAAGUCACCCCCUUUUCUUCAUAUGUUCUAGCUCGGGGACUCUGAUUCUUUUAUGAAAAGGCCUUGAAUUUUACCUUCUGCUAAACUUUAGGUAUUAUGGGGGAUGGGCAGCACCUAAUAUAUACUUCUUGGGGUAUGCUGUGGUUGUGAAGUUUGGCAAUAUCCGUAUCGAUGGACUUUCCGGAAUUUACAAUGCGCGUAAUUAUUGUUUAGGUUGGGUAUGAAGUUCUUUUCUUGUCUAUUCUAUGUUUAUUCUGGAGUUCUUUUAAUGGUGAUUGUAUAUUUACUGCAAGCGAGUGUCAGAUAUGUUAUAUUGAUUCUUAUUUAGGGUGGAGAGUCGAAGCUUUGAAACUGAAAUGAAUUAGCUUUUCCUUGAGCAGGACACCAUGAAAUGCCACCUUAUAAUGACAAUACUAUCAGGUCUGUGUAUCAUGUUCGGGAGUACGAUGUUCACAAGCUCAUGCUCCUAGAGAAACUGAUUGAUAUUUUCCUUUCACACGAUUGGCCGCUCAGCAUCACUGAUUAUGGGAACUGGCAACAACUUGUUUGCUGCAAAAAAACAUUUCAAAGGUGAGGUAAUAAUAUUCAAUUGGUGGAAAUGGACAUAUGUGAUAGAAUGAAAAUCUUCAUAUCAAGCGUCUUCAGUUUUCUUGUUGACCAUUCCUGGUUGCUUGUUGGUUGACACAUAUUUGCUAGAUCCAGCAAGGAACUCUUGGAAUCAAACCUGCUGCUCAGCUGCUCAAAAAACUCAGACCAUCGUAUUGGUUUUCGGCUCACUUGCACUGCAAAUUCACCGCUCUUGUUGAACAUGAAGAGGGUGGUCGAGUGACAAAAUUUCUUGCACUCAAUAAAUGCCUUCCAGGGCGCAAGUUCUUGCAGGUAUCUGUCAUAUGUUCUGACCAUUUCAUUUAGGUUCUUUCUUUUGGUCUUUGCUGGAAGCUAAUAAAUGAAUUCUGGCUUUCUCUGAUCUUUUAGGUUGUUGAUAUUGAUCUGAUCUAGGACCUUAUGAGGUUCAGUACGAUGAAGAAUGGCUGGCAAUAACACGGAAAUUGAACUGUCUUUCCUUUGACCUUCCGAUGUGGAGACAUUGGGUGUGUGUAUAUAUGACAUUUUUGUUUUGACCAUGCCACUCAUCUCACUCUCUCUCUCUCUUGGGUGGGGUGGACUAAUGUUUUAUUUGAAAAUGUGCAAUUUUCUAUUUUUGCAAGGACUGUUACUCAUACAAGAACUUGUGAGCUGACAACUGCUGUUCUAAUAGGUAGGAGAACAAAGCUCGACAUGCAAGAUUGUUGUCAAUGGGUUAAGAGCAGGAUGGAAGACAGAGGAGCCAAACCUUGUGAAUUUUCUCAAACAGCUCCACCUCACAAACCCUUUGAUUCUUACUUUUUCUGGUAAAUAAUAUGGUGAUAUUUUGAUGCUUUUCCUUCUUUGAGCUGCUAAUAGUAUCUCCAUUAAUGGUUCUAUCUUUUGGAUUUAAGAAACUUACCAUAUAUGUUUGCAUAUUUAUACCAUAGGCAUCUCAAUAUUACUGUCACAGUGGUUAUGAAACACUAUCCUUCAUUUUUUAUCUUCUUUUAGCUCAAUUAAUUGUUGGUUAGUGAAUGCGUUCUUUUUUAUUUAGAUUUGCAACUAGAAUAAUCAUGACUUUUGCAAUUUGUUUUUGCUCGAUUUCUUUUUUAAUUAUUAAAAUUUUCUCACCUUUUGUAGGUUCUCCCCGUAAUCCUCAGAUUGUAUCUUUUUUGGAAUUACUAGAUCUUCCUUAUGUUCUUGAUAAUGCAUAGGACUCCAGGGAUACUCCUUCUUCAUUGCCUCAAAAGGGUAAAGAGUUUUCUAUUUACCUUGUCCCACUCAGUUUUGAUGCCUUGUCCCUUUAUACGGUAGUUAAUCUUCAUUGUGAUGCAGUCAAACCUAGAGUAUACAUGAAUCUAGGAAUACCUUUUGCUUGUCGUGUUUAAUAUGGUGCUAAUGCUCUCCAAUAUAGUUUAAUGGGAUAGAUAAUUGAUCAUUUGCUUUCAACCAAGGUAGAACAUUGAAUAUGCCUAAUGUUUUGAGCUUUGUGCAUAUCAUACGUAAUGCUAUAACUUUACCUCGUCCAUGUUGAUCGAACUAAAUCCAUUAAAUUUCUUAAGGUGACAUCGUUUUUCUUGUUGGUUCAUUAGAUGAUUACAGUGAAGACAUUCCCAAUGAAGAUGAGAUUGAUCUAGCAGAUGAUGCAGAACGGAAUAAUUAAAAUCGGUGCUCAUGAAUAUGAAUAAUAUUUUCUAUCAACCAAGAGGUUUAUUAGUGCAAAAAGAUUGAUAGCAAUAUCUUGCUAUACUAUGACGCUUUACUUGUUUGUGAAGUUGGCAACUUGGUUUAAUGGCCCACACUUUUCCAACUUUCAUCAGUAGAGGAGAGCACCUAUACAAGUUUCUUUCUUUCUUUGUAUCUAAAAUAAUGUAUAAACAUCAAAUAUUAUAUCAAUAGCUUUUAUCACAGUCAUUCAUUAUAUGAGCUUGAAUUUGGAAUCUCAAAUUUUUUGGGGCUUUUCUAAUUGAAUUGAUGUUAUUAAUAUGGAUAAAUGACAAUAGCAUGGAGUUUGUAUCUUGCUUCUUGCAAAUUUAGUAAUUUGUUGUAUUCCGACAUCCAGGAACAUCCAAGGCAUGGCACCCUUAAUCAGGCAUGAGCUUUGUUCUUUUUCAAUAAGCAAUUUUCAGACAUGGCCAUUGGUUACAAUCCAUUAGCACAUUUAUAAGAUUAUUAAAUUGUUUAAAGGGAUAUUAGAAGGGUGAACUAGAAAAAUUAUAAAGGAAAUUUUCGCAUUUUAUUCUUAGUUUUAUAGAACUUAAAAGAACCUUUAUUUUUAAGAAAUUGUGAUUUAUAAAUUGAAAUGUAAAUUUUGAUAUCGAAGAAACUAAGAUUAGAAUCAAUGGUGAGAUGUUAAAGCCUCUUAGAAGGCUGUGGAAGAAGAUGAUGAGUCCAAAAGGUUGUUUUAUUAUUUUUGGUGUUCAAUCAAUUGAUUUAGGAUGCUUGCAAUGGAAAUACAUUAGAGUUUUAUAUUUGAGGUGGUAUUAGUUUAUGGAAUAAGCUAGGGAUUAGGUGGGGCUCUUGCUAGAGUUGGCACUGAAGUAUUACAUGAACGAUGUUCAGAAGGUACAACUUUUUGAGUUACAGGUUUACUCUGUGAUUAUUUAUAUUCCUUGGAUUGUGAAUUUUAUUUAGGGGCUUCUUAUUGAUAUUGUGUUCAUUAGAAGUUAUAGAAGACACGUCACUAUUUCAUUUUAUCUAAACAUUUUUACGUUUUCUGCCUCCUCCUUUACUUAUAUUUUAUAGUUUCCCCCAAUUCAUAAAUGCAAUCACAUUGAUAUGCUCGUUUCGACCAUGGUAAUAAGCUGUCAUACUUCCAUUAUUUUUUUGAGUAAAACAGCUUGGUAUAUUAAAUAAAAUAAAAUUAAUAGAACUGAAAUACCUAAAAUUUCAGAUCCAAUAUAGACUUAACUCUAAUCAUCAAUUAAAUAAUAUAUUUCAAUUUAAAAUUUAUAAAUAGUAAAUUUAUAUUAUCCUUUAUAUUUUUAGAUAUAUAUUUUAUUAAAUUUUCUAACAAUAAAAUUAUUUAUGAAUUGCUAGAAAAGUUUAAAAUAGUUAUAUUAAAAAUAUAUAGGUAAUAAAAAACUUAACAUUUCUUAGUUUGAAAUGCCCAAAAACCACCUCAAAUUUUAAAUUUAUCUUUGUUAGUCACUACAUUUAACAUCAUUAAACUACCAGAUUUUAAUUAUAUUUUUUAAUUCUUUAUAUAUUUUAAUAGUAAAUAGUAUUAUCUUAAAAAUAAAUAUAUUUAGACAUUGAGAAUAUAAAAGUGUAUUAAAUGAAAUUUUGAAAAGUAAAUAACUCAAUUAUCACUUUAUUAAAUGAGUGUAUUAAAUAGCAAUAGUUACCGUUGGCAGGAGAAGAUUCCUUCUGCCCGUUUUCAUCAGUCUUUUCAAAUCCCCUUCCUUUCCAUUUCUUUACCAUCUCUUUCUCUUAAAAAUUUUCCUCUCUAAUCCGUUUUCAUCUCUUCCUUCUCAAUCGUUUCUGCUUUUUAUUUUUAAUUUUUUUAUUGUGAUAUUGGAAUCACUUGCUUCAUCCAUAGAUUUUGGGUUUUCAGCCCUAGGAAAUAUUGUUUCGGUUCGUCUUUUCAAAUCUAUGGAUGUCGGUGUGGUUGUUCUUGUUGGAUGCUUUGAAAAAGAAAGAAAUUCUGGUUCUGCAAGAUUUCACCAGUCAUGGCGUCUCUUUUAUAGUCAAUACUUUAUUAUUCAUAUUCUAUGUUACAUUGAUUCUUAUCCCAAAUAGACACGCUAUUCCUUUCAUCGUAUUGCACGGUAAUGUUCUUAUCCCAAUAUCUUUUCUUCUCAAUUUUAGUGUUCUUAUGCACUCUCCCAUAGCUUAAAUUCAUUCUUUUAUAGUUGACACGAGAUAUGUAUUUGUAUCAAGAAAAAGCAGGUUGGGACUGAAUUGAAUAAAAUGAAAAGUACACUAAUUCUGAAAUUGUACUCGGCGUGUGGCGAAAUGACCAGCUUAUUCCCAUAUUUUCUCCUACUUUUCCUUUAUUUCUAACGUUCCUUUCUCCUUUAUUAGCUACUCUUUUGAUUAGUUUUAUGUACGUCCAGUAGGCCCGUUCCCUCCCCUAAAAUUUACGAAACCAAUUACUCUAUUCCUCUAAAUAUUUUAUUUUACCGAUGAAAAUAAAAUACAAAUAUUAUAAUAUUGUUAUGUUAUAAACUCUCUGUUAAAUCAAGAUAGCUUCAUUCUCUCUCUCGAAAAAGGAAAAGAAAAGGUUUGAAUUCAUGAAUCAGCGGUAGCUUCUUCCGAAUGAGUGAGUUGAGGUAGUGCUAGUCUUUCUUUUAAGGUAUAAAUUUGAUUCUUAGAAAAAUCUUGUUUUUUCUUCAUCUCUUUUUAUUCUGUUUGGUUUAUCUGAUCGAGGAAAAUCGAGGGAAAUUUGUAUCAAACUUGACAUUAGUCCUUGUUCUUUUUAAAUAAUUCCUGAUUCACCUGUGAGUUGGCAAAUUCUGUUCAUCCUGCAUUUUCCCGGAAGCCAAACAGGGGACUUAAAUGUUUUUAAUUUCGAAAAUUUUGUUCUCUUACGGAAAUAUUGAAAAAAUACAUGUCUUUCAGUUGGUCCCUUUAUUCUCUCCGAUUUCCCCUUAUUUUUUUCUAACGUCUUUUUUCCUUUACAGGCUGUUAAUUUUCUUUCUUAUUCUGUUCAGGCUUUAUCUCCGUCAUAUUUAGACUCGGAAUAAGCUAUUCCCCGGAUAUCCUGUCUUUUCUUAUUCCGGUUCUCAAUUUUUGGCCUCCGGUUUAUUGGUUUUAGUGGCCGGUUCAGCUAUUUUUUCUUGUCUGGACCGGCCAACCUGACAUGGUUAUUCUGGACAUAUCCCGGUUCUUUGCUAUCCCGUAUUGGUAUAUCCCGACCUAGCUAUAUCCCAUUCUGGGAAUAUCCCGAUUCCCCACUUUUUUUUCCUUAAGUCUCUUUACCUUCUUUGUCUUUAAUUCCUCAAAAAAAAAAAAAAGGCAAUUUAAAGAAGGUAUUGAUUACCAUAAAUGUUACCAUUGUCACAUGGGGAUUUAGAAAAUUAUGUUCUCUCUCUUCCGUUCAUAGCUUCCCCAUUUCUUCACCUAUUCAUCCAGCUCUUUAAAUUUAUUUUCCCUUUUAUUCUCUGUUGUUUUUCCAUUCUUUGAUCUCUGUUAAUCCUCUCUUUCGUUUUCUUUAUUCUCUUUCCCUUCCUUUCUUGUCCUUUCGUAGCAAACCCCGGACACUGCCGCGCCAUCAACACCUUCCGGCGUCUUACCUCCGAUCAAAGGUCAGUUUCCUUCCCAUUAUUCGAAAUUUGAAUCCUCAAAUCUAUCUCUUCUAUCCAUAGCACCCCAUUUAUUCGCUGAGUCCCUCUCUCUCUCUCUUGUCUGUUUUGAAUUUCUUCCUCUCAUUUUUUUCUAGUUUUGGGUGCACAGAAAGACGCUACACUAGGUUUUCUCUGCCGUUUCUGGUUUUUGUGAUUUUUUGAAUUUCUCUGCUUUAUCGGUGACUGAUUUCAGGUAUGAAUCAUCACUUGUACUUUGUCUUUGUCUUUGCCAUUUCAUUUUGUAAAUUCUCUAGUUUUAGUAAAGUCUCUUCUUUCCUUUCCCUUUUAUCUCACUUAAGAUAAUGCUUUAAACUUUUUCACCUGUCUUUCUUUCUAAUGUGACAGUCCGGAUAGCCUACUGGUCUCGUGGAUAAAAAACUGCUUCCUGGGAUAUGUAGUACUCCUCCUGUCCAUAAAUAACUGUUUUUAGUUAGUAUCUUUCUUGCCCUGUGUAUACAUUCAUGGAUUCCUUUCUAUCUCUUUUGCAGGUGCAAAAUCUAUAAUAAAUAGAAGUUGAAACCGCUUAUGGUAUUGGAAUUUUUGAAAACAUUGUCUCAUUUCGUCUCAUUCAUCUCCAUUUUUUUUAAUUUAACAGAUAUUUUCUUUCGGUAUCUGUUCUCCUGUCUUUCCAUCCGUCCAUGGCUCUUUUAUUGUUAAUCCUGCCGUCGCCCUUUUGAUUCUUGUUUUAGUUUCAGAUAUAUGCUUCUUUUUACUUCUAUUUUCAGUGUGUUUUUGUCAUGGUUUUUUGUUUUCACCUUUAGAGGAUAAAGUCAUUAAGAAAAAAAACCUAAGGUUUUAAGUUUUUCUCAAACCCUACCACAGUAUUGUGUCCAAUUCGAAACGAUGAAGAUAGCGGUGGAAGGGUGCAUGCAUGGAGAUCUCGACAAGGUCUACGACACCAUUAAAUACAUCGAAAACACUCGCAACAUCAAAAUUGACCUCCUCCUUUGUUAUGGUGA
rnacentral:lncRNA from 1 species